rnacentral:rRNA from 1 species
GCCAGACUCCUACGGGAGGCAGCAGUGAGGAAUAUUGGUCAAUGGCCGCAGGGCUGAACCAGCCAAGUCGCGUGAGGGAAGACGGUCCUAUGGAUUGUAAACCUCUUUUGUCGGGGAGCAAAAGACGCCACGCGUGGCGUUCCGAGAGUACCCGAAGAAAAAGCAUCGGCUAACUCCGUGCCAGCAGCCGCGGUAAUACGGAGGAUGCGAGCGUUAUCCGGAUUUAUUGGGUUUAAAGGGUGCGUAGGCGGACCGUCAAGUCAGCGGUAAAAAUGCGGGGCUAAACGCCGUACAGCCGUUGAAACUGCCGUUCUUGAGUGAGCGAGAAGUAUGCGGAAUGCGUGGUGUAGCGGUGAAAUGCAUAGAUAUCACGCAGAACUCCGAUUGCGAAGGCAGCAUACCGGCGCUCAACUGACGCUGAAGCACGAAGGCGUGGGUAUCGAACAGGAUUAGAUACCCUCGUA